rnacentral:tRNA from 1 species
GCGCGCGUGGCGGAAUUGGCAGACGCACUAGAUUUAGGUUCUAGCGGUAACCCCGUGCAGGUUCAAGUCCUGUCGUGCGCACCA